CAUUUUUCCAUCUAACCUUCAUAAUUGCCACUCUGGAGACUGCAUCACAGUACAUUAAGAUACUCUGAGAAUCCAUCCUUUCAAAACAAACUAAACUUAAGCUGUAUCAUGGGGAUGGGGAUUACUUGUUUUCAAAAACAGUCACCACCAGCUACAUGUGACUACAAAGCUUGAAAUGUAAAUAGUACAAAUUGAGAUGUGAAAAAAAAAGGAAGGAAGGAAAAAAGCCCAAACAGGAUCCAAGUUUGUCUUGGCAAUUUCAUACAUCCCUGUUUCAUAAUGGUAAAUAGCCUAAGGACAAAGUGAAGGAUUCCAGUGCCUCUAUUCUGCAAAGCUUGCACCGUAAGGAAGGAGCAUGGGCUCCAUCACAGAGCUGUCUGGAACAAAGCUCUGCCUUCACAGCAUUUGCCAAGCCACCUCCACACAUCUACAAUUUAUGCCAUUGGUAUCUUCCUGCCACUUUGCAUGGGACCACGUAUUUAUAU